rnacentral:sRNA from 1 species
CUAAAUGUUUUCUAGGGUUCCGCAGCAGCUGCUGGUCUGGUCCGAGAGAAAACUCACAGUAUUCACUGUGUCACGGAAGGAUAAAAGCCUGGGAGAA